rnacentral:rRNA from 1 species
CCUCUCGGGGGUAAGCGGGCAGAACUUGCAAGUAUUGAUGGGAACAUUCAGGCUUGUUGUGUUGGUGGCUGAUGAUGUGCAUCAAGUUAUUGGUUUCGGCCUUUGGCUGAUGCAUGUUUUUGAUCUGCUGACAAUACGCCGCAUUUGUUCCUGUCAUCGGGUUGCAUGCGACUGAGUUUGGUAAUUUAGGUGCUGGGAGUCUGCAAAUCCUUGUGGUUUGAGUCCUGGUUUUUCCAAUUGCAUAUGCGGUCGUUGUACAGCAAACAGGCGUAUUUAUCGCGGUCAGGGACUUUACGAGUGGGGUGCCUAUGAUGUGUGGACGGGUAACCGUAGCACGCUGUAUGUAUCUGCUUGUCAGUAAGAGUUGUUUGGCACUGUUUAGUAUUGCAAUCUAAAGCAUGCGUGGUCUGCCUGU